rnacentral:lncRNA from 1 species
AUAAAAAAGAAGCUGCUGUAUCCAAAGAACUCAAAAAGCCAGCAAAAGCUCCUACAGCCAACCCAGCCAUCAAGAAAGCAGCAACACCAGAACUGCAUAAAAAAGAAAAAAUAAUGGAAUCUGGCAAAAUAACAAAGAAAGAAACAAAAGUACAUGCAGCUGUGGAAACUCCAAAGUCAAAAGCAGGUCUUGAAAAAAAAGAAGGAAAAGCAACAAAGGCAGUAAUGCAAGAUAAACCAAAGAUGAAACAAGGAAAUCCUGGAAAAGAGAAAGAAUUGAAAUCUCCAGCUGCCACAAAAGAUAAAGAACAUGCUAAAGAAAAGGAGGGGAAGAAUCCUACAUCUUUAAAAGAAAAAGUAUUUACAGGUCCUUCUAACAUGACAAAGGUGGCUAGACUUUCUCCGCACAACCUUCAGAAUAAAGCAGAUUCCCUGAAAGGAAAAAAUCCCAAGAAUCCAGAGAGCAUAAGAGAAAAAGAGAGUGGAAAAAGAAAAGAUGUGAAGCCUCCAACAGCCUUAAAGGAAAAAGACUCUUCAAAACGAAAAGAAAUCAAGGCUUCAACUAAUCCUAAGGAAAAAGCUGCAGUGAAAAAGGAGGGGGAGAAGAAAGCUUCCUCAGAGAACCCGCAUGAGCACAAGCAUGAACGUGUUAAACAUGAAAAAGCUGCCUCUCAGACAAAGCCAGAGGAGAAAAUGAAACAACCAAAGACUAUUCCCACUGAGAAGUCAGCCCAGGCAAAAUCAGCAAAGCAUGAAGCAGUCAGACAUGAAAAAGAUGUCCCCCUUACAAAACCAGUCAAACCAAAAAACACUGCAAAACCAACAGCUGAAAUCCCAACAUCAGUCACAAAAAAACCAAAGACAACCAAGGAAAAAGAAGGUAGGAAUUUAUUCUAUGUGUACAUAUAUAUGUAGACGAUCACAAUAAAAAUAGUAUGAGAUUGCA